rnacentral:rRNA from 1 species
GAUGAACGCUGGCGGCGUGCUUAACACAUGCAAGUCGAACGGGAAACCUUUUAUUGAAGCUUCGGCAGAUUUAGCUGGUUUCUAGUGGCGGACGGGUGAGUAACGCGUGGGUAACCUGCCUUAUACAGGGGGAUAACAGUCAGAAAUGGCUGCUAAUACCGCAUAAGCGCACAGAGCUGCAUGGCUCAGUGUGAAAAACUCCGGUGGUAUAAGAUGGACCCGCGUUGGAUUAGCUGGUUGGUGGGGUAACGGCCCACCAAGGCGACGAUCCAUAGCCGGCCUGAGAGGGUGAACGGCCACAUUGGGACUGAGACACGGCCCAGGCUCCUACGGGAGGCAGCAGUGGGGAAUAUUGCACAAUGGGGGAAACCCUGAUGCAGCGACGCCGCGUGAAGGAAGAAGUAUCUCGGUAUGUAAACUUCUAUCAGCAGGGAAGAUAAUGACGGUACCUGACUAAGAAGCCCCGGCUAACUACGUG